UGAGUAAAAAUAUCCUGCACAGGAAGAUUCAAUCCUACAUUCAACCUUAUCAGGUUCCAAUGGUUUUUCAUUAUAAUUUAUAAAUUAUAACAUAUUGAAUCGUUUAUUUUAUUUUGUUUAACUCAUAUUUUUGUAAGUAAAAAUAUCCUCCAUAGAAAGGUUCAGACAUACGUUCACAAACAGACAAAAAGCUCCUCAGUGAUUCUAUAAAACGAAUCUACCUCGACCAUGAACGAAUCGAAAGUUCCUCAGUGAUUCUAAAAAAUGAAUCUACCUCGACCACGAACGAACGGAAAGCUUCUCGGUGAUUCUAUAAAACGAAUCUACCUCGACCAAGGACGAAUGAAAAACUCCUCGGUGAUUCUAUAAAAUAAAUCUACCUCAACCCAACGCUGAAGGAGUUUCAAUGGCCAAAUCCUAGAGUCCACCGCUCGGUACAGAAAGGAAUGAAGACUUAAAUAGACUCCCUAAAUACAACAUAAAUGACCUCUCUUAAACUCAUAAUAAUCCAUGUGCACCUCUUUCAAUAAAGAGCUUGCUUGCGCUUGGGGGGCUUAUGUACUAUAUGAAAUAUACCGAUCGGAGUUAGCAGGUAUUAAUGGGUCAGAUUGAUUUACGCUUUACAAAUAUACGAUAUUAAUUAUUGAUUAUUGGGUUUGAUUGCCUAAAAAUAUAUUAUAUUAAUGGUUAAUCAAGGGGCUUGGCUGCCACAAGUCCUAUAAAUAUACAUUUGAUGUCCCAGUAAAGGGAUCCUUGGAUAUCUUGAUCUAACCUUGAUCUAUCCUAAUAAAAUAGAGACUUCUUUAUGAAACAUAUCUGAUUUGAGCGUCAGAGUGUCUUCUAUAGGUCAACCACCCAUCGGAGUAGAUUGCGUUCUCGGAGAGGAUUGAACGAUCAGAAGAGAGCAAAGCAAGGAAGGACGAUCGAUCCUCGACCAAUUUAACUGAAACACAUGUCAAUUUUAAAUCUAACCUACUAAAAUCAUACUCACCAGAGUUGAAUUUGUGGUGAGGUUGACCCACCAACCCAUACAAUUUGUUAUUUUUAAGUUAUAUUAUUAAUAUAAUUUAAAUUGAAUUUAUUUCGAUUUCAAUUAAAAAAGUUGUUAACUUUUCUAAUUGAUAAAAAAAUUAUAAUUA
rnacentral:lncRNA from 1 species